UACGGAGGACCCGAGCGUUAUCCGGAUUUAUUGGGUUUAAAGGGUGCGUAGGCUGUUUAUUAAGUUAGAGGUGAAAGCUCGAUGCUCAACAUCGAAAUUGCCUCUGAUACUGGUAGACUAGAGUAUAGUUGCGGAUGGCGGAAUGUGUGGUGUAGCGGUGAAAUGCUUAGAUAUCACACAGAACACCGAUUGCGAAGGCAGCUGUCCAAGCUAUUACUGACGCUGAGGCACGAAAGCGUGGGGAGCGAACAGGGA
rnacentral:rRNA from 1 species